UGCACCAGACGCCCGGGUCCUCGCCAGGCCGAGAGUUGAGUCAGCCCUCGGUCCCCCGGCCACACUGUUGGGGUGGACGAGCCCAGACAGCCGGAGGAUUCUUGUCCCGGCUCCCAUCAAGCAGCCGCUGUUUGCCAGGCCCAGGGGAGGCUGACUCCCUGCUGAUGCAUCUGGGAAAGUAGUGGAAGAUGGCCCAAGUCCUUGGGCCAAUGUACCCAUGCGGGAGACCCAGAAGAAGCUCCUGGCUCCUGGCUAUGGCCUGGCCCAGCCCCAGCCAUUGCUGCCAUUUGAGGAGUGAACCAGCAGGUUCCAAGAAAGGAGAAAAAGUGGCUUCUCCAGGAGAGAGGUGGCGAGCUUUGAAGGGGGGAGGAAACCCAAGCCGCAAGAGGAAGUGGAAGACCAGGCUCUCUGCUGUGGCCUGGGAAAGCAGUAGAAGAUGGCCCAAGUCCUUGGGCCCCUGCACCCGUGUGGGAGAUCCGGAAGAAGCUCCUGACCCCUGGCUUCGGAUCAGCACAGCUCCGGCCGUUGCGGCCAAAUGGGGAGUGAACCAAAGGAUGGAAGACCUCUCUCUGUCUCUACCUCUCUCUGAAACUCUGCCUUUCAA